rnacentral:tRNA from 2 species
GUAUUGGUGGUUCAGUGGUAGAAUUCUCACCUUAAAUGUGGGAGACCUGGGUUCAAUUCCCAGUCAAUGCA